GGUGGCGGGCGCCUCAGUCGAGGU
rnacentral:siRNA from 1 species